rfam:Arabis alpina cultivar Pajares chromosome 6, whole genome shotgun sequence.
UUUGAGGGGAUUGUUGUCUGGCACGAGGCCCUUAACUCAGAUCUACAUUUCACUCUUCUUCAUUAUUAAUAUUACUCUAUAUAUAUCAAUAUAUGUGUGUGUAUAUUACACAUACAUGAUUAAUGAUCGGUUUAAUGGUUAAUGACUUCGGACCAGGCUUCAUUCCCCUCAAU